rnacentral:rRNA from 1 species
AUACGUAGGGUGCGAGCGUUGUCCGGAAUGAUUGGGCGUAAAGGGCGCGUAGGCGGCCCGGUAAGUCUGGAGUGAAAGUCCUGUUUUUAAGAUGGGAAUUGCUUUGGAUACUGUCGGGCUUGAGUGCAGGAGAGGUAAGUGGAAUUCCCAGUGUAGCGGUGAAAUGCGUAGAGAUUGGGAGGAACACCAGUGGCGAAGGCGACUUACUGGACUGUAACUGACGCUGAGGCGCGAAAGUGUGGGGAGCAAACAGGAUUAGAUACCCUGGUAGUCCACACUGUAAACGAUGAAUGCUAGGUGUAGGGGGUAUCGACCCCUUCUGUGCCGCAGUCAACACAAUAAGCAUUCCGCCUGGGGAGUACGGCCGCAAGGUUGAAACUCAAAUGAAUUGACGGGG